rnacentral:rRNA from 1 species
GACGAACGCUGGCGGCGUGCUUAACACAUGCAAGUCGAACGAAGUGGCGAACGGGUGAGUAACGCGUAAUCAACCUGCCCUUCCGAGGGGGACACCAGUUGGAAACGACUUCUUAUCCCGCAUACUGACGCAUGGUAUUGCGUCUGUUUAGCUAGAUGGAGGGGUAACGUCCCACGAAGGCGAUGAUAAGUAGCCGGUCUGAGAGGAUGAGCGGCCACAGUGGGACGGAGAAACGGCCCAGACUCAUACGGGAGGCAGCAGUGGGGAAUCUUCCGGAAUGGACGAAAGUCUGACGGAGAAACGCCGCGUGAGUGAUGACGGCCUUCGGGUUGUAAAGCUCUGUUAAUCGGGACGCGGUACCGGAAUAGAAAGCCACGGCUAACUACGUGCCAGCAGCCGCGGUAAUAC